AUUUGCGCAGGGUUGGUUCGGUAGUCAUUGUUGGAGGAACACAUUUCUGUUCUUCAUUGUAGUUGUUACAUGAAAAAAUCAGGCAGUUGUUGAAUUGAGAAGUUUGUGGAAGUUAUUGUAACAAAGGUUGGUAGAUUUUUCUAGGGAGGAAAUUAUCCGGAGCUACUAUUGUCAUGGAGGUGGCUGUUUGUUCUGAAUUUGACUCAGGUCUGUGAGAACCAGAGAUGUUGCUACUCAGGCCUCAAUCAAACAUGCUUCCCAGUGAGGGAAAUUGGCUAUAUUAUCUAGACCCAUCUGAGUUGUGCUUUGGUUCUUACCUCCGCAUCUCUCGUUGUCAGCAAUCCUAGAAGAGCACAAGUACUUCUCUUGCAAAUGAAAGUGUUGGUUUUUUCUUUUGUUUAUCCUAUCUUGCAGAGAAGACCAAAUUAUAUACACUUCGAAUAGAAGCAUAUCCAUAUUUCCAAAGUUAAACCCCAUGGUAUUGCUCAAGUAAAGAUCAUGUUUAAAGCUUA